UCUGAUGGAAGGGGCCAAUAAUAACAAGAUCCUGCCGCUGAUUUUCCCUUUCAGGGAAAGGACUUUCUAUGCUACCCACACCAGUUCCCUUGGACCCCUGGAGCCAGCAGUCCAUGCCACAGCAGGCAAGGGGGAGAAAACUAGAUGUCUGAGACGGGGGAAGGCAUGAGAGAACCCAGGGACCAGCUAGAAAGCAAAAAGUGAGAGCACAUGUGAGCUGAGGUCAAAGAGACGUGGCUCUGAACCCAGAGCAUGCUGCUGUCCCAGACCCACCACUGGACCUCUUGCCUUGGUGUCUCAUCAGUGUGACAGUGACAUCCACCUGCAAGGUGCUGCAAGGCACAUCAUGUGCACUGGAGGUCAAGCUCAGCACUUUGAACGUGGCUGGAGCUCAGGAACCUGCAUGUUUGUGACUAUGGAGCUUCAGUGGUUCUGCAGCAUAUGGGCCCAGGACAGAGAAUGUAACACCGCUGCUCCUGCAGCCCCCCAGGUUGUGUACUCUGCUGGCGUUCCAUCAGGGUGAGAAGAAUGGCAUUUCCUUUCCCUUCCUCCCUCUCUCUUUUCCUCUUUCCCUCACACCCUCCCUCCCUCUCUUCCUCCAUCCCUUCCCUGCCUUCUUUUGUUUCUCUGUGCUGGUGAUUGAAGGCACGGGGCCUUUGCACUAAGAG
rnacentral:lncRNA from 1 species